UUUAAACAGCCAGGGAGUCAAGAUUUACUUCUGUACAGCCCUGGGACCAACCUUGAUAUGUGCAACUGGCACUAGAUGGGGGCUGAAGCUUUGCAGUGAAAGCGCUAGCACUCCCAUUGUUCUCGUGAGGGAAAAGUAUUUUCUAGAUUGAAGCUCAGGUCAUGAUCUCGUGAUUGGUGAGUUUCAGCCCCACAUCAGGCUCCAUGCUGACAGUGCAGAGCCUGUUUGGGAUUCUCUUUCUCUCUCUGCCCCUCCCCGCCUCAAAAUGAAUAAAAAACUUUAAAAAUAAAAAUCAUUUAAAAUAUCAAAAUAUGUCAUGUAUGUGAUAGGUUGCUAGAGGGUACCUCACCUAGGUGAACCUUGAAUCAGGUGAACCUGUAUUAAAUAAGAGUUAUCUACCAUAUACUAUGUAUUAUGUCAGGCUGAAUAAGAAUUAUGUAAGAACAAGGUGAAAGCCAUACAAAGUAACAAGUGUUUUAAUAAAGUAAUGUGAGAUCAUACAAUUAAAAAUACCCACUUUAAAUCAAAUGAAAUAAAUAUUGGAAAUGGGUAUUUAACACCAAA